UACGGAGGGUGCAAGCGUUAUCCGGAUUCACUGGGUUUAAAGGGUGCGUAGGCGGGCAUUUAAGUCAGUGGUGAAAUACCUGAGCUUAACUUGGGAACUGCCAUUGAUACUAUUUGUCUUGAAUGUCGUGGAGGUUAGCGGAAUAUGUCAUGUAGCGGUGAAAUGCUUAGAUAUGACAUAGAACACCUAUUGCGAAGGCAGCUAACUACGCGAAUAUUGACGCUGAGGCACGAAAGCGUGGGGAU
rnacentral:rRNA from 1 species